rnacentral:RNase_P_RNA from 1 species
GAAGUGAGCCGGGUGAUCGCUGGGUCGAGUGACCCGGAGGAAAGUCCGAACACCGCAGGGCAGGGUGCUCCAUAACGUGGAGUCAUGGUGACGUGAAGGAAAGUGCAACAGAAAGUAAACCGCCGGUGUUUUCGUUGUCGACCUGACAAUGAAAACAUGGGUAAGGGUGAAACGGUGCGGUAAGAGCGCACCAGUUCCCCGGGUGACCGGGGAAGCUAGGUAAACCCCACCCGGUGCAAGACCAAAUAGGGGAGCGUUUGCGGGCGGCCCGUCCGAGCUCCCGGGUAGGUCGCAAGAGGUAACGGGCAAUCGUUACCCAUAGAUGAAUGAUCGCCGUCCGGCCACAGGGUAACCUGGACCGGAAACAGAAUUCGGCUUAUGGCUCGCUUCGACC